UCCUACGGGAGGCAGCAGUGGGGGAUAUUGCACAAUGGGGGCAACCCUGAUGCAGCGACGCCGCGUGAGCGAUGGAGUACUUCGGUAUGUAAAGCUCUGUCAGCAGGGAAGAGAAUGACGGUACCUGACCAAGAAGCCCCGGCUAAAUACGUGCCAGCAGCCGCGGCAAUACGUAUGGGGCAAGCGUUAUCCGGAUUUACUGGGUGUAAAGGGAGCGUAGGCGGCAGGGCAAGCCUGAUGUGAAAACCCGGGGCUCAACCCUGGGAGUGCUUUUGAAACUGUUUGGCUGGAGUGCAGGAGAGGUA
rnacentral:rRNA from 1 species